UUGAAGAGCCAUUCUAUUGAGCUAAGUUGUUGUGAUCUUGAGCGUACUAUUUCUACUCAUAAUCCACUCAUUAAGGAGUGCUUUGUAAAGUGAGUAAGUUUUGUGUUUGUAAGAGAAUUGCGAUUCUCGUUUGUUGAGGAAUUUGAUAUUCCUUGGUUGAAGUCUUUGGGAUUGUUAUCCCCGAGCAAUUGAAGUCUUUGGGAUU
rnacentral:lncRNA from 1 species